rnacentral:rRNA from 1 species
UCGAGAAUUUUUCACAAUGGGCGCAAGCCUGAUGGAGCGACGCCGCGUGGGGGAUGAAUGGCUUCGGCCCGUAAACCCCUGUCAUUUUCGAUCAACCGUUGUUGUUUAAGAGAUGACAACCUGAUAGUAGCGAACGAGGAAGGGACGGCUAACUCUGUGCCAGCAGCCGCGGUAAUACAGAGGUCCCAAGCGUUGUUCGGAUUCACUGGGCGUAAAGGGUGCGUAGGUGGCAAGGUAAGUCGGAUGUGAAAGCUCGGAGCUCAACUCCGAAAUGGCAUUGGAAACUGCGUCGCUAGAGGGUCGGAGGGGGGACUGGAAUACUUGGUGUAGCAGUGAAAUGCGUAGAUAUCAAGUGGAACACCAGUGGCGAAGGCGAGUCCCUGGACGACUCCUGACACUGAGGCACGAAAGCUAGGGGAGCAAACA